rnacentral:rRNA from 1 species
AGAGUUUGAUCCUGGCUCAGAACGAACGCUGGCGGCAGGCCUAAUACAUGCAAGUCGAACGAACCUUCGGGUGAGUGGCGCACGGGUGAGUAACACGUGGGAACGUACCCUUCACUGCGGAACAACGUCGGGAAACUGACGCUAAUACCGCAUAAUGUCUCCGGACCAAAGAUUUAUCGGUGAAGGAUCGGCCCGCGUUAGAUUAGGUUGUUGGUGGGGUAAUGGCCUACCAAGCCUACGAUCUAUAGCUGGUCUUAGAGGAUGAUCAGCCACACUGGGACUGAGACACGGCCCAGACUCCUACGGGAGGCAGCAGUAAGGAAUAUUGGACAAUGGGCGCAAGCCUGAUCCAGCCAUGCCGCGUGAGUGACGAAGGCCUUAGGGUUGUAAAGCUCUUUCAGGUGCGAAGAUAAUGACUGUAACACCAGAAGAAGCCCCGGCUAAAUUCGUGCCAGCAGCCGCGGUAAUACGAAUGGGGCGAGCGUUGUUCGGAAUCACUGGGCGUAAAGCGUAUGCAGGCGGACAUGCAAGUCAGAAGUGAAAUCCCAGGGCUUAACCCUGGGAAUGGCUUUUGAAACU